rnacentral:rRNA from 1 species
CAGUAGCCGCGGGAAAACGUAGGUGGCAAGCGUUGUCCGGAAUUAUUGGGCGUAAAGGGCUCGCAGGCGGUUUCUUAAGUCUGAUGUGAAAGCCCCCGGCUCAACCGGGGAGGGUCAUUGGAAACUGGGAAACUUGAGUGCAGAAGAGGAGAGUGGAAUUCCACGUGUAGCGGUGAAAUGCGUAGAGAUGUGGAGGAACACCAGUGGCGAAGGCGACUCUCUGGUCUGUAACUGACGCUGAGGAGCGAAAGCGUGGGGAGCGAACAGGAUUAGAUACCCGAGUAGUCCCUGUCUCUUAUAC